rnacentral:rRNA from 1 species
UACGUAGGGCGCGAGCGUUGUCCGGAAUUAUUGGGCGUAAAGAGCUCGUAGGCGGCUUAGUAAGUCGGGUGUGAAACCUCCAGGCUCAACCUGGAGACGCCACCCGAUACUGCUGUGGCUAGAGUCCGGUAGGGGAGCGUGGAAUUCCUGGUGUAGCGGUGAAAUGCGCAGAUAUCAGGAGGAACACCAGCGGCGAAGGCGGCGCUCUGGGCCGGUACUGACGCUGAGGAGCGAAAGCGUGGGGGAGCGAACAGG